rnacentral:lncRNA from 10 species
AGCAGGUGGAGGUCCCUGUACUCGUUGUGGUGCCUUAUCUACCAGGCGGUUGAGUUGACGUCUUUGUGGACAGAAUUCGAUUACAAAGGUGUCCGAAAGUCUCCAGGUGGGGGAGAGUUUUGUAGCGGGCAUAAUUUGGGUUGUAAAUUGACUGUUGUCUCCUGAGCAGUCUCCUGGUGAGGGAGAGUUUCACUGGAGCUUUGAAACACAUGUUAGACAGCCUUGCCCUGUAGGGAGUGUCUCGUGAAGGAGAGGUAAACAAUUAUAAUUGCAUUUCUAAAGGGCUAAGUAGGACAUGGGAAACUGGAAAAUGGAGAAAAGAAGAGAAAAAAAUAGUAACUCAUUCUCUUUUUCUUAGAAAAAUGAGGAUACUUGGUCACAUCCUCACAUGGUGAAGAAUAAGAUGGUCUCUUCAUUUCCCUUCAACACUAGUCCCAUCGUGAGGCUCUGCCCUCAUGACCUAAUCUAAUCCUAACUGCCUCCCAAAGGUCCCACCUCCACAUCCCAUUAUUGGGGAUUAGGGUUUCAACAUAGGGAUUUGGGGGAAACACAAACACUCAGUUCAUAGUGAUAUCUGACUGCGAUUCCAAAGGUCUGAGGACACAUUGGCCCUGUUGUUUUUGCUGUGUUGUCCUUGGCCUCAGGUGAACAUUUUAGCUUUAGAUUGCAACAUUUUAAGCUAAAAACACUAAGCUAGAAAAUUAAACUUAUCUCGUCACAUUCUGCAUGGUGAACAAACUCAAAACUCACCUGAGUGUAUCUUGUUUUCAUGAGAAAAAAUGACCGGUCAUCUCCCUUGCCCUGUUAGGGACAGUUAGACAUGACUGCUGUAUGAAGAUAUGUACAUGUUAACAAUUCAUAUGUACAAGCUACUGUUCCAUUUUGCCUGGCCCAAGGGGAGGUAGCUAGCUAGUUGGGGUAGCAGGGCGAAUUAACCCUAAUAUAAUAGUACAUUUCUAAUGCCACCAAUGAAAUGAAAACCAGCUCUCAAACAUGGCACUAUAUGGGAUGGCAUUCCAAGGCCAACUCAGUUACAGUAACUACAGCUUUAACUUUGAUCAUUUUGUUACCAGAAAGGGGUCCCAAUCCAGACCCCAAGACAGGGUUCUUGGAUCUCAUGCAAGAAAGAAUUCAAGGCGGGUCCAUAGAGGAAAAGGAAAUGAAGUUUUAAAGAAAGUAGGAAAAUAAAGAGUGGUUGCUCCAUAGGCAGAGUGAACCUAAGGGCUGCUGGUUGCCCAUUUUAUUGUUAUUUCUUAAUUAUUUACUAAACAAGGGCUGAAUUAUUCAUGCCUCCCCUUGGUAGACCAUAUAGGGUAACUUCCUGAUGUUGCCAUGGCAUUUGUAAACCGUCAUGGCUCUAGUGGGAGUGUAGCAGUGAGGACAACCAGAGGUCACUCUCAUUGCUAUCUUGGUUUUGGUGGGUUUUGACCGGCUUCUUUACUGCAACUUGUUUUAUGAGCAAGGUCUUUAUGACCUGUAUCUUAUGCAGACCUACAAUCUCAUCCUGUGACUUAGAAUGACUUAACCCUCUGGGAAUGCAGCCCAGUAGGUCCCAGCCUUAUUUUACCCAGCCCCUAUUCAAAAUGGAGUUGCUCUGGUUCAGACGCCUCUGACAAUUUUAAAGCUAAUGAAAAAAAUGUCUAGCCAAAUGUAUAUAUACAUACAUAUAUAAUUAUGAAAAGAUAAUGCCUUAUAAUCUUGAUUCUUAAAUUGAGGUAUAUUGAUAGUAUUCUCCCAAUGGUCUGGGGAUUAAUCAAUAGGUAAUUUAUACAAAACUGAAGUGCUGCCAAAUAGAAUUAUAGGAGUAGCUGCUGCGCAAAAAAGAUUAAUGAGAUUUGGGGAGACUUUGCUGUGGCUAAUAUGAUGGGUCAGGAAGAGUACAAUCUCAGUACAAUUUUAAGUUGUAUUUAUCUUAUGAAUAAUUGGGCUAUUCUUUCAUAUGCCCAAGGGCCAUUUUAUAGCUCUAUAUUUCUUUUGUGUUCUGUUUGGGGCUUGAAGUCUCUACUUCUGUAUCGGGAUUGCAAUGCCUGCUGUCUUACUGUUUCCAUUUGUCUGGUAAAUUUUCGUUCAUUCCUUUAUUUUUAGCUAUUUCAAUUGCUGCAUUUUCGGUGUGUAUCUUGUGUGCAGCACACAGUUGAGUUUUUGCUAUACGAGCCAAUCCGAAAAUAAUCUUUUUUAAUAGGCAAAUUAAGCCGAUCUAGUUUUGAUAUAACUACCAUGUUUGAUGUCAAUUCUGUCAUAUUUUAGAUUGUAAUUGCUGAAUGUAUUAUAUUUACUGUGUCUAUC